ensembl:lncRNA
CGUGAAGCCGGGUGGAGGCUGCCCGUGAGCCGCUCCUCUUGUGAUGCACUGCACCAGGGCUGGUGGGGCCAGUGCUUACAUCAUAGAAACAUAGAAUCAUGGAAUGGCUUGGGUAGGAAGAGACAUUAAAGAACUUUUACCUCCAACUGCGCUGCUGUGGGCAGGGAUACCGCCCACUGAGUCAGCCUGCCCAGGGCUCCAUCCAGCCUGGCCUUGAACGCUUCCAGAGACCGGGGCAUCCACAACUUCGCUUGGCAAACUUUUAUAGUGCCUCGACAACCCCGAGAGGGAAUUAUUUCCAGCUCGAUGUGCCAAUGACAAUGUCUCACUCCAAUUUAUAGGAGAGGGAGGAGGUUCUUUUCAUAUAUGUAUACCUGACAGUGAGAUUAAGCUACAACAGGUCAAAUGUUAGCCUGACCAGUUUAUUACAAAUCCUUUGUCUUUAGAGAGAUGGGGAGGGGAAGGUGGGCAAUAGAAAAGAGAUAUAAAAGCAAGGAGUCUUUGUAGUGCGCGAGAGAGAUGAUUACCACUGCGGGUCCGAUGAGGUUCAUAGUGCGCCCGUUGAUCUCAAGAAUUUGUCCUAUCACUGCAGGGGAUGGGAGAAAGCCAGGGAGCUUUGCAGCCAGCAGGCUCUGGGGGGGUCUUUUGAAAGAGGGUUUUCCCCUCAGGGAAUUCCUCUGUAAAGGUUUAUUUGGAGUUCUUCUCCAAAGUCCUUAUUUUGGUGAGGGCCUUUUAUCUCCCAUUUCUCAGUUUUUUUUCUUCUUUUCUCUCUGUCAGUGUGACACACCCUGCCCAACAGAGAAGCCAGCAGGGAGUGGUGCCUUUGUUGCCAUGCGUAGCAUUACUGCCUAUUGCAGUGGUCAGCUCCUUCAAGCUGCCCCCCCAAAAGGACUGCUUGUCCACUUCUGCUUCUUUACACUCAUGAGCAGCAGUACUGUGGCAGAGUGACACCCAGCACUCGCCCCCCUAGAAUUAGCAGCUGUUAGUUAGUCCUAUCACUGAAAAGGUCUCAUGAAGCAAGCUGUGAGACAAAAAGAAAUACAGUUUUGUCUUUCACAACACCUGGUGGCACAAAGGUUGCUUGAAAUUGAUGUGUAUAUGACCAUCUAUGAUGGUGAGGAAAGAAAAAAAAGAAGCAAGCAUAAAGGAAAGAAGGGUGGGGGCUGAGGGGGGUUUAAAUGUUACACAAUCACACAAUUGCUACAAAGGAUUUCUUGAGCUUGGUUACAAAUGUUGGCCUGGUCUGUUGGACAUGUCCAUUAUCAGUUGAAGUGGUUACACAGUACAUAGAAGAAACAACACGUUGCGUAAGCUGCCAUUAUCAUCAAUCUUUGGGCAACAAUUGGAGUUAUUCAGUUUGCCGCAGACACCUCCCGGUGACUCUCCAGGAGUGAAGAAAUGAGUGUGGUAUAACAAAUAGAAAGGGGAAAGUGAAAAGAGACACAAGAAAGUAGUUGAAUAAUCAUAUAAUUAACAAUACCAACUAAUAAAAAAAUAAUAGAAAUAAGAAUAUUUAAAAAAAGAAUAGAGGUCCAAUUUGACAAUACACUUGCCAGAUAAUGUUUUCAAAGAUGAUUUGGUGUUUUGCCAGGACCGUAGAUGGAGCCCAUAUGUUUUCUAAUAUCACAGAGAUUAUUUGUCCCAUGGUUAGCAAAAUUGAACACUAUUUAGGCAGAGUGAAGGUACUGCACAUUGUUCCAAAGUUAAAUAUGGAUAGAAUUUUCCAUUUGAGCAUCUCCAAAGCAAUUUAAAUGCUGAUAUAUAUAUAUACUAGUUGGGCAAGUGCAAAUAUUGCUAUAGUCUAUAGAAUUUUCAGAGGAUAUUGUGUGCAGGAUGCCCCACAAUAUAAACCAUAAGAGGGGUAAUCCUAUUAUAUGGGACACAUACACAUCUCUUAUCAAAACUCAGUUACUUUCCAACAACCAUGUUUUGGAUAGAACUCCUGCACUGGUGUUAACUCUGGCACUGGAAAAAAAAAAAAACAUCAGUAACAUCAUAUUGCAAAGGGCUUUAUGAUGGGUUUCUUCCGUGACCACAUUUAACAGAUAUUAGACGGGGCCUUUGGUUCAUUUCCCAGUUUGUUAGGAAGCUGGAAACACCAUGGAGGAGUUACAUGCAAAUCAUAUUCAGUUUGAUAAAAAGGGGUGAAAGAAGGGGUCAAAAGGUGUGGGAAUAAAAGAAAGACAAUUCAGAGCAGCAGCUGUGAAGCAAGAUACACAGCUGAGAAAGCAAGGCUGAGAUAGCAAGGCUGAGAACCAAGGACAUCUCUAGAAGAGAAAAACAAAAGAAAUGGCCCAUGGCUCUGAUUGAAUAAGUGCCUGCAUGCACAGCUAUGGAGUGUUUGUGGGAUACUUUGUUGACAUGUAAAUGUGCAUGGGAAAGUUGUAAGGGCAGAUGGGAAAGCUAAGAAAGGAAAACUUGUGAAUGUAUGUAAGUGAUGUGAGAACCUGCAAUAAAUGAUUUGGAUUGUUCACAUUUGAGUCUGUGCCUCAUUGCCACAAAUGGCACCCAAACAGGGACUCUGUAUCAGGGUCAGCCUCAGGAGAUAAUCAGC